rnacentral:rRNA from 1 species
CGAUGGAUAGGGGUUCUGAGAGGAAGGUCCCCCACAUUGGAACUGAGACACGGUCCAAACUCCUACGGGAGGCAGCAGUGAGGAAUAUUGGUCAAUGGACGAGAGUCUGAACCAGCCAAGUAGCGUGAAGGAUGAAGGUCCUACGGAUUGUAAACUUCUUUUAUAAGGGAAUAAACCCUCCCACGUGUGGGAGCUUGUAUGUACCUUAUGAAUAAGCAUCGGCUAACUCCGUGCCAGCAGCCGCGGUAAUACGGAGGAUGCGAGCGUUAUCCGGAUUUAUUGGGUUUAAAGGGUGCGUAGGCGGCCCUAUAAGUCAGCGGUGAAAUGUUCCGGCUCAACCGGGAAACUGCCGUUGAAACUGUAGAGCUAGAGUCCACAAGAGGUAUGCGGAAUGCGUGGUGUAGCGGUGAAAUGCAUAGAUAUCACGCAGAACCCCGAUUGCGAAGGCAGCCUGCUAGGGUGCGACAGACGCUGAGGCACGAAAGCGUGGGUAUCGAACAGGAUUAGAUACCCUGGUAGUCCACGCAGUAAACGAUGAAUACUAACUGUUUGCGAUACAAUGUAAGCGGUACAGCGAAAGCGUUAAGUAUUCCACCUGGGGAGUACGCCGGCAACGGUGAAACUCAAAGGAAUUGACGGGGGCCCGCACAAGCGGAGGAACAUGUGGUUUAAUUCGAUGAUACGCGAGGAACCUUACCCGGGCUUAAAUUGCAAAGGAAUUGCGUGGAAACAUGCAAGUCUUCGGACCUUUGUGAAGGUGCUGCAUGGUUGUCGUCAGCUCGUGCCGUGAGGUGUCGGCUUAAGUGCCAUAACGAGCGCAACCCUUGUUGUCAGUUACUAACAGGUUCCGCUGAGGACUCUGACAAGACUGCCAUCGUAAGAUGUGAGGAAGGUGGGGAUGACGUCAAAUCAGCACGGCCCUUACGUCCGGGGCUACACACGUGUUACAAUGGG